AUGAUAAGAUAAAAAUAGUUUAGUAUAAAAUAAAAUAGGUUAGAAGAAAAUCAAAUAAAAUUUUAUUUAUUUAUUUUACAAAUCUCCUGUCUUUCCCCUCUGGCACAAAAAUCGAAGAACCCUUCCCCCCUUCAGCCUCGCACGCGCCCCCUCCCCUUUCUUAAACCCUCACUGUCAGCUCCCCUCUGCCUCGCCGCCGCACGUUUCAUCCACCGCUCGCCCAUCCAGUCGCGCGUGUCAGAUUUGUCUUGCGUCGGACCGCCCGAAGUCGCGGCGCGCUCCAACCGUUUCCGUCGCCUUGCCCAAUCGCGCAUUCCAGAUGUCGUCGUCACCUUCCAGACAUUGUCAGUCACCGCCACGUGUCAGUUCGGCCGUUCGACGUCACCUACUGCCAUUCAGCCGCUGUUUGGAUUGGAACCUUAUUUUGGUGAGCUUUAGAUUCAAGGUUUGGAAGCUUUGAGGUGACCCGUCAAAUUGAAGAUCAAUAUUGGCAAAGAUGGUUAGAUUGUGGUAAAUUUUUCAUUGGGUGAAUUCAAGUUCAUUCAAAAGCUUCAAGGGAUUAUUUUCAUGGACUGUUGUUCGUGACCAAAUUUGAGGUAAGAGCAAGGACGCGCUGGCGAAUGACAAGAGGAGUCCAUGAACGAGCCACUGGGGACCAGUUUUAUGCUUCCGC